rnacentral:rRNA from 1 species
UACGUAGGCAGCAAGCGUUGUUCGGAGUUACUGGGCGUAAAGGGUGUGUAGGCGGUUCCUUACGUUUGCUGUGAAAUCUCCCGGCUUAACCGGGAGGGUGCGGUGAAUACUGAGGGACUAGCGUACGGGAGAGGAAAGUGGAAUUCCUGGUGUAGCGGUGAAAUGCGUAGAUAUCAGGAGGAAUACCAGUGGCGAAAGCGGCACCCUAGCAUUUUUCUGACGCUCAUGUGCGAAAGCGUGGGGAGCGAACGGG